GUGAAUCAUCGAAUUUUUGAACGCAAAUUGCACUUUCUGGUAUUCCGGAGUGUCGGCCUGUUUGAGGGUCAGUUAUUUAAAACUCUGUCUUGUUGCUGCCUUUCUUAAUGGCGCGUCGGAUUUGGGUCUUCUUACCUUCUGUUAAGUGACUUAAAAUUUUUGCAUGGUUUUCGUACGUAUUUCAAUCGCUUACUUACUUUUGAGAUAUCGGAUGCGUAUU
rnacentral:misc_RNA from 1 species